GAUGAACGCUGGCGGCGUGCCUAAUACAUGCAAGUCGAGCGAACAGACGAGGAGCUUGCUCCUCUGACGUUAGCGGCGGACGGGUGAGUAACACGUGGAUAACCUACCUAUAAGACUGGGAUAACUUCGGGAAACCGGAGCUAAUACCGGAUAAUAUAUUGAACCGCAUGGUUCAAUAGUGAAAGACGGUUUUGCUGUCACUUAUAGAUGGAUCCGCGCCGCAUUAGCUAGUUGGUAAGGUAACGGCUUACCAAGGCAACGAUGCUUAGCCGACCUGAGAGGGUGAGCGGCCACACUGGAACUGAGACACGGUCCAGACUCCUACGGGAGGCAGCAGUAGGGAAUCUUCCGCAAAGGGCGAAAGCCUGACGGAGCAACGCCGCGUGAGUGAUGAAGGUCUUCGGAUCGUAAAACUCUGUUAUUAGGGAAGAACAAAUGUGUAAGUAACUAUGCACGUCUUGACGGUACCUAAUCAGAAAGCCACGGCUAACUACGUG
rnacentral:rRNA from 1 species